rnacentral:lncRNA from 1 species
GGAGAGAAACUUCCAGACCAGCCCCUCACACCACAGCCAGGAGGGGCCUUUCUCACCUGUAGAGAAAUUUCCAGACCAGCCCCGCACACCACUGCCAGGAGGGGCCUUUCCCACCUGGAGAGAAACUUCCAGACCAGCCCCUCACACCACAGCCAGGAGGGGCCUUUCCCACCUGGAGAGAAAUUUCCAGACCAUCCCCUCUCACCACAGCCAGGAGAGGCCUUUCCCACCGGUAGAGAAACUUCCAGACCAGCCCCUCACACCACAGCCAAGAGGGGCCUUUCUCACCUUAAGGAUUGCAGCUAAAAGAUCUGACUGUGGCAUUGUAAACUGUAAGGAAUGUGUCAGUGAACCCAUGGCUAAGCCCACUCCCGGGCCUCGGUGGGGUCUGUGCACAGGUGUCAGAAGUGUGAGCUCCAUGAGCUUUACAGUGAAUCAGCUGUGGGGCACAGAGGGCAAGCCUUUCCUCCACCCUACGAAGGCUCCUUGAGAAACAACUGACCGAAGGCAGACCAAUAGGAAAAAGAAAAGCAUUCCAACGUAACGUGCAUGGCAUGGGGAAUUGCAGGAGAGUGAUGACCCCACAAACCAGUGAGGUCCAGGUGCUUCCACACCCUCAUAGGGAGACGGGAAAUGGGGGAAAUGUGGCUGUUUAGAGGGUAAAGCAUGAUUUAUAGGGGGAACGAAUCGAUCCAGAGGCAGGCACUGUCUUGGGAGUGAUCCUUCCCAGACUGGCCAAUCA